rnacentral:rRNA from 1 species
UACGGGGGGGGCAAGCGUUGUUCGGAAUUACUGGGCGUAAAGGGCUCGUAGGCGGCCAACUAAGUCAGACGUGAAAUCCCUCGGCUUAACCGGGGAACUGCGUCUGAUACUGGAUGGCUUGAGUUUGGGAGAGGGAUGCGGAAUUCCAGGUGUAGCGGUGAAAUGCGUAGAUAUCUGGAGGAACACCGGUGGCGAAGGCGGAUCUCUGGGCCUGUCCUGACGCUCAGGCGCGAAAGCUAGGGGAGCAAACAGG